rnacentral:sRNA from 1 species
UCGAGCGCAGCGAGAAAACGUUGCCGCAGGCAACGACCCGAAGGGUGAGGAGCGGAGCGACGAAUAAUCCUUCCCCCACCACCA